rnacentral:rRNA from 1 species
GAUGAACGCUGGCGGCGUGCCUAAUACAUGCAAGUAGAACGCUGAAGGAGGAGCUUGCUCUUCUGGAUGAGUUGCGAACGGGUGAGUAACGCGUAGGUAACCUGCCUGGUAGCGGGGGAUAACUAUUGGAAACGAUAGCUAAUACCGCAUGACAACAGUUAUUGCAUGAUAACUGUUUAAAAGGGGCAACUGCUCCACUACCAGAUGGACCUGCGUUGUAUUAGCUAGUUGGUGAGGUAACGGCUCACCAAGGCGACGAUACAUAGCCGACCUGAGAGGGUGAUCGGCCACACUGGGACUGAGACACGGCCCAGACUCCUGCGGGAGGCAGCAGUAGGGAAUCUUCGGCAAUAGACGGAAGUCUGACCGAGCAACGCCGCGUGAGUGAAGAAGGUUUUCGGAUCGUAAAGCUCUGUUGUAAGAGAAGAACGAGUGUGAGAGUGGAAAGUUCACACUGUGACGGUAUCUUACCAGAAAGGGACGGCUAACUACGUG